rnacentral:rRNA from 1 species
UUGGAAACAGAUGCUAAUACCGUAUAACAAUGACAACCGCAUGGUUGUUAUUUAAAAGAUGGUUCUGCUAUCACUAAGAGAUGGUCCCGCGGUGCAUUAGCUAGUUGGUAAGGUAAUGGCUUACCAAGGCGAUGAUGCAUAGCCGAGUUGAGAGACUGAUCGGCCACAAUGGGACUGAGACACGGCCCAUACUCCUACGGGAGGCAGCAGUAGGGAAUCUUCCACAAUGGGCGAAAGCCUGAUGGAGCAACGCCGCGUGUGUGAUGAAGGGUUUCGGCUCGUAAAACACUGUUGUAAGAGAAGAAUGACAUUGAGAAUAACUGUUCAAUGUGUGACGGUCUCUUACCCGAAAGGAACGGCUAAAUACGUGCCAGCAGCCCGCGGUAAUACGUAUGUUCCACAGCGUUAUCCGGAUUUAUUGGGCGUAAAGCGAGCGCAGACGGUUAUUUAAGUCUGAAGUGAAAGCCCUCAGCUCAACUGAGGAAUUGCUUUGGAAACUGGAUGACUUGAGUCCAUUAGAGGAAAGUGGAACUCCAUGUUUACCGGUGAAAUGCGUAGAUAUAUGGAAGAACACCAGUGGCGAAGGCGGCUUUCUGGACUGUAACUGACGUUGAGGCUCGAAAGUGUGGGUAGCAAACAGGAUUAGAUACCCUGGUAGUCCA